rnacentral:rRNA from 1 species
GACGAACGCUGGCGGCGUGCCUAAUACAUGCAAGUCGAGCGAAGUUUUUCUGGUGCUUGCACUAGAAAAACUUAGCGGCGAACGGGUGAGUAACACGUAAAGAACCUGCCUCAUAGACUGGGACAACUAUUGGAAACGAUAGCUAAUACCGGAUAACAGUAUUUCUCGCAUGAGAGAUAUUUAAAAGUUGGUUAUGCUAACACUAUGAGAUGGCUUUGCGGUGCAUUAGCUAGUUGGUGGGGUAAAGGCCUACCAAGGCGACGAUGCAUAGCCGACCUGAGAGGGUGAUCGGCCACACUGGGACUGAGACACGGCCCAGACUCCUACGGGAGGCAGCAGUAGGGAAUCUUCCGCAAUGGGCGAAAGCCUGACGGAGCAACGCCGCGUGAGUGAAGAAGGAUUUCGGUUCGUAAAGCUCUGUUGUUAGGGAAGAAUGGAUAUGUAGUAACUAUACAUUAAGAGACG